GACGAACGCUGGCGGCGUGCUUAACACAUGCAAGUCGAACGGAAAGGCCCUGCUUUUGUGGGGUGCUCGAGUGGCGAACGGGUGAGUAACACGUGAGUAACCUGCCCUUGACUUUGGGAUAACUUCAGGAAACUGGGGCUAAUACCGGAUAGGAGCUCCUGCUGCAUGGUGGGGGUUGGAAAGUUUCGGCGGUUGGGGAUGGACUCGCGGCUUAUCAGCUUGUUGGUGGGGUAGUGGCUUACCAAGGCUUUGACGGGUAGCCGGCCUGAGAGGGUGACCGGCCACAUUAGGACUGAGAUACGGCCCAGACUCCUACGGGAGGCAGCAGUGGGGAAUAUUGCACAAUGGGCGGAAGCCUGAUGCAGCAACGCCGCGUGCGGGAUGACGGCCUUCGGGUUGUAAACCGCUUUCGCCUGUGACGAAGCGUGAGUGACGGUAAUGGGUAAAGAAGCACCGGCUAACUACGUGCCAGCAGCCGCGGUGAUACGUAGGGUGCGAGCGUUGUCCGGAUUUAUUGGGCGUAAGGGGCUCGUAGGUGGUUGAUCGCGUCGGAAGUGUAAUCUUGGGACUUAACCCUGAGCGUGCUUUCGAUACGGGUUGACUUGAGGAAGGUAGGGGAGAAUGGAAUUCCUGGUGGAGCGGUGGAAUGCGCAGAUAUCGGGAGGAACACCAGUGGCGAAGGCGGUUCUCUGGGCCUUUCCUGACGCUGAGGAGCGAAAGCGUGGGGAGCGAACAGGCUUAGAUACCCUGGUAGUCCACGCUGUAAACGGUGGGUACUAGGUGUGGGGUCCAUUCCACGGGUUCCGUGCCGUAGCUAACGCUUUAAGUACCCCGCCUGGGGAGUACGGCCGCAAGGCUAAAACUCAAAGGAAUUGACGGGGCCCCGCACAAGCGGCGGAGCAUGCGGAUUAAUUCGAUGCAACGCGUAGAACCUUACCUGGGUUUGACAUGGAUCGGGAGUGCUCAGAGAUGGGUGUGCCUCUUUUGGGGUCGGUUCACAGGUGGUGCAUGGCUGUCGUCAGCUCGUGUCGUGAGAUGUUGGGUUAAGUCCCGCAACGAGCGCAACCCUUGUUCACUGUUGCCAGCACGUUAUGGUGGGGACUCAGUGGAGACCGCCGGGGUCAACUCGGAGGAAGGUGGGGAUGACGUCAAGUCAUCAUGCCCCUUAUGUCCAGGGCUUCACGCAUGCUACAAUGGCUGGUACAGAGAGUGGCGAGCCUGUGAGGGUGAGCGAAUCUCGGAAAGCCGGUCUCAGUUCGGAUUGGGGUCUGCAACUCGACCUCAUGAAGUCGGAGUCGCUAGUAAUCGCAGAUCAGCAACGCUGCGGUGAAUACGUUCCCGGG
rnacentral:rRNA from 1 species